rnacentral:rRNA from 1 species
AACGAACGCUGGCGGCGUGCCUAACACAUGCAAGUCGAACGAGAAAGGGGCUUCGUCUCUGCGUAAGGUUGCGCACGGGUGAGUAACACGUGGGUAACCUACCUCUAAGAUUGGGAUAACUCGUCGAAAGAUGACCUAAUACCGAAUAAGACCACAGUUCCCGCGGGAACAUCGGUCAAAGGUAACCUCUUCUUUCAAGCUUUCACUUAGAGCUGGGCCUCCGCACCAUUAGCUAGUUGGUAGGGUAACGGCCUACCAAGGCAAAGAUGGUUAGCUGGACUGAGAGGAUGAUCAGCCACACUGGAACUGAGACACGGUCCAGAGUCCUACGGGAGGCAGCAGGGGGGAAAAUUGCGCAAGUGGCGGAAGCUUGACGCAACAACGCCGCGUGAGGGAGGAAGGCCUUCGGGUCGGAAAGGUCUGCCUUGAGGAACGAAUGCUCUUGAGGUUAACAGGCUCAGAAGGUGACGGUACCUGCAAAGAAAGCACCGGCUAACUCUGUG